AGCAAUCAGCGAGACUCCGUGGGCGUAGGACCUCCGAGCCAGGUGCGGGAUGUAAUCUCGUGGUGCACCGUUUUUCUUAAGCCGGUCCGAAAAGCGCAAUAUUCGGUUGGGAGUGACCCGAUUUUCCAGAGAUGAGGUCUCACAAUAUUGCCCAGGCUGGUCUCAAGUCCCUGGACUCAAGUGACCCUCCUGCGUUGACCUCCCAAAGUGCUGUUAUUACAAGCAUGAGCCACGGUGCCCAGCCACCACCAGCCUCCUUUCACAGAGACUGAAUUUCAAUCAGCUGCUCUCAGUUGACAAUGAUAAAAUUAUCUCUAUAUGGGCAAAUGCGUGCUCUUUGUCGAAAAAGAAAGCUUCAGCUUCAUGUUCCAGGGACGGUCAAGUUGGUAUCCAUCGUGAAGCUAAAUGAAUAUCUGGACAGGAGUCAGACAAAGGGAAGGAGAAUCCAGGGGAAGAUGAAGCAGCUGCAGGCCUGUCUGCUACCCUAUAUCCGGGGAAGAGCCAGAAAUUGCUGACCAUAGAGAGUUACAUUGUCCAGCUUUUCCUCCA
rnacentral:lncRNA from 1 species